CCCCUCAAAAACUUUCUUUCUGUUAUUUUGUUGAAUAAUCAAUCUGCCUGAUUCAUCUUUUUCUCAAGUAAUGAUCUCUUGACUUAGAGAGCUUCUCAGUCAAUAUCAUGCCCUCUAAUUUAUCAGUUGUGUCGUAAGAAUUAUCAAGCUGUAAUAUGGUUUUGGGUGACCUACUUUUGGAUUCACAAUUAAAUUGGAUUUGAUUUGUCAACUUGUGUACCUGGAUUUUUGUUGAUGCUUUUAUGUGAUCUUGAUAGAUGGUUUGAGGUAAUUUCUUUUUUAUGAGCUACUGCUGUUUCUUUGCAGAAAUAAAAACCGUGGUAACUAUGAUGACGAUGAUGAUAGUGACAUGGAGGCAAAUUUCGAUGACAUCAUGAAGGAAGAGAGGAGAAGUGCUCGAAUCGCACGAGAGGAGGAUGAAGAGCAACUCCGAUUGAUAGAGGAGGAGGAGCGGCGAGAAAGGGAGAGAAAGCUGGCAAAGAAGCGCAAGCUAAGUCAUCGAUGAGAUGAUGUCCUUAUGACGUGUUCCUGCUCUUAGUUUGGAUUCUUGUUGUCAUUGUUUCUGAAUAUGCUCAGUGUUCUUGAUGGUGUCAGUAUUUAUCAAUAAUAGUGAAGAAUAAUUGAAAGUCAAGGGAAAAAAAAAGAUUGCAAUUAAGUAAGAUCAGCAAAAUGUUUGGAUUACAGAAAUUAAAUCUUGUUUUUGCGUCGAUGGAAUUCCUGCUUUUGUUUGCA